GCAGGGGUCCCAUAGCCUGGUCAAUUGGGGCGGGCUUAAGAUCCGCUGGCUUAGUGCCUUCGUGAGUUCAAAUCUCACCCCCUGCA
rnacentral:tRNA from 1 species